GAACGCGUGGAGCAAUCCACGAGUGGCGGACGGGUGAGUAACGCGUGGGAACCUGCCCUGGAGUGCGGAAUAACCGAGGGAAACUUCGGCUAAUACCGCAUACGACCUAUGGGUGAAAGAUUUAUCGCUCUAGGAGGGGCCCGCGUCGGAUUAGCUAGUUGGUGGGGUAACGGCCUACCAAGGCUAUGAUCCGUAGCUGGUCUGAGAGGAUGAUCAGCCACACUGGGACUGAGACACGGCCCAGACUCCUACGGGAGGCAGCAGUAGGGAAUAUUGGACAAUGGGCGCAAGCCUGAUCCAGCCAUGCCGCGUGGGUGAUGAAGGCCCUAGGGUUGUAAAGCCCUUUCGGCGGGGAAGAUAAUGACGGUACCCGCAGAAGAAGCCCCGGCUAACUUCGUG
rnacentral:rRNA from 1 species